rnacentral:rRNA from 1 species
GACGAACGCUGGCGGCGUGCUUAACACAUGCAAGUCGAACGAAGAGCGAUGGAAGCUUGCUUCUAUCAAUCUUAGUGGCGAACGGGUGAGUAACGCGUAAUCAACCUGCCCUUCAGAGGGGGACAACAGUUGGAAACGACUGCUAAUACCGCAUACGAUCUAAUCUCGGCAUCGAGGAUAGAUGAAAGGUGGCCUCUACAUGUAAGCUAUCACUGAAGGAGGGGAUUGCGUCUGAUUAGCUAGUUGGAGGGGUAACGGCCCACCAAGGCGAUGAUCAGUAGCCGGUCUGAGAGGAUGAACGGCCACAUUGGGACUGAGACACGGCCCAGACUCCUACGGGAGGCAGCAGUGGGGAAUCUUCCGCAAUGGACGAAAGUCUGACGGAGCAACGCCGCGUGAGUGAUGACGGCCUUCGGGUUGUAAAGCUCUGUUAAUCGGGUCGAAAGGCCUUCUUGCGAAUAGUGAGAAGGAUUGACGGUACCGGAAUAGAAAGCCACGGCUAACUACGUG